rnacentral:rRNA from 1 species
ACUAAAAAACUAGCCUAAACACUUAACCUUCUACAACAACAAAUUAAAACAUUCAUUUUUUUAGUAUAGGCGAUAGAAAACUAGACGUUGGCGCAAUAGAAAAAGUACCGCAAGGGAAAGUUGAAAAAGAAAUGAAACAAAACAUAAAAGUAAAAAAAAGCAAAGAUUUAUACUUGUACCUUUUGCAUCAUGGUCUAACAAGCACCAACCUAAGCAAAAUGAUUUUUAAGUUUCUCCCCCCGAAACUAGACGAGCUAUUUAAAAGCAGCCAGCUCGGGCAAACUCAUCUCUGUGGCAAAAGAGUGAAAAGACUUUUAAAUAGCGGCGACAAACCUACCGAGCCUAGUGAUAGCUGGUUGCCUGAUUCAAAUGAGUAUCAGCUCCGUCUUAAACCUUCUCUACAUACGUAAAAAUAACAAUUAAAGUUUAUUGAGCUAUUCAUAAGAGGAACGGCCCUUAUGAAAAAGGAUACAACCUACAACAAUGGGUAAUGAUCACACUCACUUAAGACUUAACACUAAGUUGGCUUAAAAGCAGCCACCAAAUUAAAGAUAGCGUCACAGCUCUAAUUACCACAUGAAUCAACAAUUCACAUAAACCAUCAAAACCCACAUACACCAACAGGUCCAUUCAUACCAAUAUGGAUAAGUUAAUGUUAGAACCAGUAACAAGAAAACAGAUUUUCUCAACGCGCAAGUAUAAGCCAGAUUGAACAUAUCACUGAUAAUUACCCCACCCAUAACAACUGGAACCGCCACCACUAGACAAGAAGAAAAUAAACAAACUAAUUGUUAACCUUACACAAGCACGCAUAUAUGAAAGAUUAAAAGAUAAGGAAGGAACUCGGCAAACUAUUAGCCUCGCCUGCUUACCAAAAACAUCGCCUCUAGCAAACACUUCAUGUAUUAGAGGUACUGCCUGCCCAGUGAAAAUUAUUUUAACGGCCGCGGUAUUCUGACCGUGCAAAGGUAGCAUAAUCACUUGUCUUUUAAAUAAAGACCUGUAUGAACGGCAACACGAAGGCUUAACUGUCUCCUUUAUCUAAUCAGUGAAACUAGUUAUCCUGUACAAAAACAGGAAUACUCACACAAGACGAGAAGACCCUAUGGAGCUUUAAACGCACAGCCAACCUAACACACUUAACCAGUUAUUUGGCCUGUCGUUUUCGGUUGGGGCGACCACGGAGAACAAUACAUCCUCCGAGUACAUAUUAAUACAAUUAAUUAAACUAAGAACCACAUCACAAGGCACCAGAAAUUCUGAUUUAUUGACCCAAGAUUUGAUCAACGAACCAAGUUACCCUAGGGAUAACAGCGCAAUCCUAUUAGAGAGUCCAUAUCGAUAAUGGGGUUUACGACCUCGAUGUUGGAUCAGGAUCCCCAAACAGUGCAGCAGCUGUUAAAGGUUCGUUUGUUCAACGAUUAAAAUCCUACGUGAUCUGAGUUCAGACCGGAGCAAUCCAGGUCAGUUUCUAUCUGUGUACAAUUUUUUCCAGUACGAAAGGACCGAAAAAAUGGGGCCAACACAUUAUGCGCGCCCUCCCUUACACCUAUGAAACCAACUAAAAACGUUACAAGGGCACACUUAUUAACCCUACAUCAGGGUUU